rnacentral:rRNA from 1 species
CAGCCGCCACGGGAAUACGAAGGGGGCUAGCGUUGCUCGGAAUCACUGGGCGUAAAGGGCGCGUAGGCGGCGUUUUAAGUCGGGGGUGAAAGCCUGUGGCUCAACCACAGAAUGGCCUUCGAUACUGGGACGCUUGAGUAUGGUAGAGGUUGGUGGAACUGCGAGUGUAGAGGUGAAAUUCGUAGAUAUUCGCAAGAACACCGGUGGCGAAGGCGGCCAACUGGACCAUUACUGACGCUGAGGCGCGAAAGCGUGGGGAGCAAACAGGAUUAGAUACCCCGGUAGUCCCUGUCUCUUAUAC